UUGGGCGCUCAUACCGAGGAGGUUCACCCGUUCCCAUUCCGAAUACGGCCGUUAAGCUCCUCAGGGCCGAUGGUACUACCCGGGCAACUGGGCGGGAGAGUAGGUCGGCGCUCGCU
rnacentral:rRNA from 1 species